GACGAACCGUGCGAACGUUGUUCGGAAUCACUGGGCUUAAAGGGCGCGUAGGCGGGCUGUCAAGUCUGGGGUGAAAUGCCGCGACUCAACCGUGGAACUGCCUUAGAUACUGACGGCCUCGAGGAAGGUAGGGGCAUGCGGAACUGUAGGUGGAGCGGUGAAAUGCGUUGAUAUCUACAGGAACUCCGGUGGCGAAAGCGGCGUGCUGGACCUUUUCUGACGCUGAGGCGCGAAAGCUAGGGGAGCAAACGGG
rnacentral:rRNA from 1 species